CUUGGUCAUUUAGAGGAAGUAAAAGUCGUAACAAGGUUUCCGUAGGUGAACCUGCGGAAGGAUCAUUAGUGAACGCCCUCACGGGCUUAUAACUAUUCCAAACCUCUGUGAACCGUGCCCUUCGGGGCUAUUUUACAAACAUGGUGUAAUGAACGUCAUAUAUCAUAACAAAACAAAAUUUUCAACAACGGAUCUCUUGGCUCUCGCAUCGAUGAAGAACGCAGCGAAAUGCGAUAAGUAAUGUGAAUUGCAGAAUUCAGUGAAUCAUCGAAUCUUUGAACGCACCUUGCGCCCUCUGGUAUUCCGGAGGGCAUGCCUGUUUGAGUGUCAUGUAGACUCAAUCCCUCGGGUUUCCGAGGAGAUUGGACUUGGGUGUUGCCGCUCUGCCGGCUCGCCUUAAAAGACUAGCGGGAUAGCACCGUGUCGGCGUAAUAAGUUUGUCGGUGAAGGUUGUGAUGACUGCUUACAAUCGCCCUUGGGCAAUUUUUGACUCUGACCUCAAAUCAGGUAGGACUACCCGCUGAACUUAAGCAUAUCAAUAAGCGGAGGA
rnacentral:rRNA from 1 species